AACGAACGCUGGCGGCAUGCCUAACACAUGCAAGUCGAACGAGACCUUCGGGUCUAGUGGCGCACGGGUGCGUAACGCGUGGGAAUCUGCCCUUGGGUACGGAAUAACAGUUAGAAAUGACUGCUAAUACCGUAUAAUGACUUCGGUCCAAAGAUUUAUCGCCCAGGGAUGAGCCCGCGUAGGAUUAGCUUGUUGGUGAGGUAAAGGCUCACCAAGGCGACGAUCCUUAGCUGGUCUGAGAGGAUGAUCAGCCACACUGGGACUGAGACACGGCCCAGACUCCUACGGGAGGCAGCAGUGGGGAAUAUUGGACAAUGGGCGCAAGCCUGACCCAGCAAUGCCGCGUGAGUGAUGAAGGCCUUAGGGUUGUAAAGCUCUUUUACCCGGGAAGAUAAUGACUGUACCGUAAGAAUAAGCACCGGCUAACUACGUGCCAGCCGCCGCGGUAA
rnacentral:rRNA from 1 species